rnacentral:rRNA from 1 species
AGAGUUUGAUCCUGGCUCAGGACGAACGCUGGCGGCGUGCCUAAUACAUGCAAGUCGAGCGAGCUUGCCUAGAUGAUUUUAGUGCUUGCACUAAAUGAAACUAGAUACAAGCGAGCGGCGGACGGGUGAGUAACACGUGGGUAACCUGCCCAAGAGACUGGGAUAACACCUGGAAACAGAUGCUAAUACCGGAUAACAACACUAGACGCAUGUCUAGAGUUUGAAAGAUGGUUCUGCUAUCACUCUUGGAUGGACCUGCGGUGCAUUAGCUAGUUGGUAAGGUAACGGCUUACCAAGGCAAUGAUGCAUAGCCGAGUUGAGAGACUGAUCGGCCACAUUGGGACUGAGACACGGCCCAAACUCCUACGGGAGGCAGCAGUAGGGAAUCUUCCACAAUGGACGAAAGUCUGAUGGAGCAACGCCGCGUGAGUGAAGAAGGGUUUCGGCUCGUAAAGCUCUGUUGGUAGUGAAGAAAGAUAGAGGUAGUAACUGGCCUUUAUUUGACGGUAAUUACUUAGAAAGUCACGGCUAACUACGUGCCAGCAGCCGCGGUAAUACGUAGGUGGCAAGCGUUGUCCGGAUUUAUUGGGCGUAAAGCGAGUGCAGGCGGUUCAAUAAGUCUGAUGUGAAAGCCUUCGGCUCAACCGGAGAAUUGCAUCAGAAACUGUUGAACUUGAGUGCAGAAGAGGAGAGUGGAACUCCAUGUGUAGCGGUGGAAUGCGUAGAUAUAUGGAAGAACACCAGUGGCGAAGGCGGCUCUCUGGUCUGCAACUGACGCUGAGGCUCGAAAGCAUGGGUAGCGAACAGAAAUUAGAUACCCUGGUAGUCCAUGCCGUAA